GACGAACGCUGGCGGCGUGCUUAACACAUGCCAGUCGAACGGAAAGGCCCUGCUUUUGUGGGGUGCUCGAGUGGCGAACGGGUGAGUAACACGUGAGUAACCUGCCCUUGACUUUGGGAUAACUUCAGGAAACUGGGGCUAAUACCGGAUAGGAGCUCCUGCUGCAUGGUGGGGGUUGGAAAGUUUCGGCGGUUGGGGAUGGACUCGCGGCUUAUCAGCUUGUUGGUGGGGUAGUGGCUUACCAAGGCUUUGACGGGUAGCCGGCCUGAGAGGGUGACCGGCCACCUUGGGACUGAGAUUAGGCCCAGACUCCUACGGGGGGCAGGAGUGGGGAAUAUUGCAACAUGGGCGGAAGCCUGAUGCAGCAACGCCGCGUGCGGGAAGACGGCCUUCGGGUUGUAAACCGCUUUCGCCUGUGACGAAGCGUGAGUGACGGUAAUGGGUAAAGAAGCAACGGCUAACUACGUG
rnacentral:rRNA from 1 species